rnacentral:rRNA from 1 species
GACGAACGCUGGCGGCGUGCUUAACACAUGCAAGUCGAACGGAAAGGCCCUGCUUUUGUGGGGUGCUCGAGUGGCGAACGGGUGAGUAACACGUGAGUAACCUGCCCUUGACUUUGGGAUAACUUCAGGAAACUGGGGCUAAUACCGGAUAGGAGCUCCUGCUGCAUGGUGGGGGUUAGAAAGUUUCGGCGGUUGGGGAUGGACUCGCGGCUUAUCAGCUUGUUGGUGGGGUAGUGGCUUACCAAGGCUUUGACGGGUAGCCGGCCUGAGAGGGUGACCGGCCACAUUGGGACUGAGAUACGGCCCAGACUCCUACGGGAGGCAGCAGUGGGGAAUAUUGCACAAUGGGCGGAAGCCUGAUGCAGCAACGCCGCGUGCGGGAUGACGGCCUUCGGGUUGUAAACCGCUUUCGCCUGUGGCGAAGCGUGAGUGACGGUAAUGGGUAAAGAAGCACCGGCUAACUACGUG